rnacentral:rRNA from 1 species
ACUAUCGUUAACUGAAUACAUAGGUUAACGAGGCGAACCGGGGGAACUGAAACAUCUAAGUACCCCGAGGAAAAGAAAUCAACCGAGAUUCCCCCAGUAGCGGCGAGCGAACGGGGAGCAGCCCAGAGUCUGAAUCAGCUUGUGUGUUAGUGGAACGGUCUGGAAAGUCCGACGGUACAGGGUGAUAGUCCCGUACACCAAAAUGCACAGGUUGUGAACUCGAAGAGUAGGGCGGGACACGUGGUAUCCUGUCUGAAUAUGGGGGGACCAUCCUCCAAGGCUAAAUACUCCUGACUGACCGAUAGUGAACCAGUACCGUGAGGGAAAGGCGAAAAGAACCCCGGCGAGGGGAGUGAAAAAGAACCUGAAACCGUGUACGUACAAGCAGUGGGAGCACCUUCGGGUGUGACUGCGUACCUUUUGUAUAAUGGGUCAGCGACUUAUAUUCUGUAGCAAGGUUAACCGUAUAGGGGAGCCGCAGGGAAACCGAGUCUUAACUGGGCGUUAAGUUGCAGGGUAUAGACCCGAAACCCGGUGAUCUAGCCAUGGGCAGGUUGAAGGUUGGGUAACACUAACUGGAGGACCGAACCGACUAAUGUUGAAAAAUUAGCGGAUGACUUGUGGCUGGGGGUGAAAGGCCAAUCAAACCGGGAGAUAGCUGGUUCUCCCCGAAAGCUAUUUAGGUAGCGCCUCGUGAAUUCAUCUUCGGGGGUAGAGCACUGUUUCGGCUAGGGGGUCAUCCCGACUUACCAACCCGAUGCAAACUACGAAUACCGAAGAAUGUUAUCACGGGAGACACACGGCGGGUGCUAACGUCCGUCGUGAAGAGGGAAACAACCCAGACCGCCAGCUAAGGUCCCAAAGUCAUGGUUAAGUGGGAAACGAUGUGGGAAGGCACAGACAGCCAGGAUGUUGGCUUAGAAGCAGCCAUCAUUUAAAGAAAGCGUAAUAGCUCACUGGUCGAGUCGGCCUGCGCGGAAGAUGUAACGGGGCUAAACCAUGCACCGAAGCUGCGGCAGCGACACUAUGUGUUGUUGGGUAGGGGAGCGUUCUGUAAGCCUGCGAAGGUGUGCUGUGAGGCAUGCUGGAGGUAUCAGAAGUGCGAAUGCUGACAUAAGUAACGAUAAAGCGGGUGAAAAGCCCGCUCGCCGGAAGACCAAGGGUUCCUGUCCAACGUUAAUCGGGGCAGGGUGAGUCGACCCCUAAGGCGAGGCCGAAAGGCGUAGUCGAUGGGAAACAGGUUAAUAUUCCUGUACUUGGUGUUACUGCGAAGGGGGGACGGAGAAGGCUAUGUUAGCCGGGCGACGGUUGUCCCGGUUUAAGCAUGUAGGCUGAUUGUCCAGGCAAAUCCGGAUAAUCAAGGCUGAGGUGUGAUGACGAGGCACUACGGUGCUGAAGUAACAAAUGCCCUGCUUCCAGGAAAAGCCUCUAAGCAUCAGGUAACAUCAAAUCGUACCCCAAACCGACACAGGUGGUCAGGUAGAGAAUACCAAGGCGCUUGAGAGAACUCGGGUGAAGGAACUAGGCAAAAUGGUGCCGUAACUUCGGGAGAAGGCACGCUGGUGUGUAGGUGAAGUCCCUGCGGAUGGAGCUGAGACCAGUCGAAGAUACCAGCUGGCUGCAACUGUUUAUUAAAAACACAGCACUGUGCAAACACGAAAGUGGACGUAUACGGUGUGACGCCUGCCCGGUGCCGGAAGGUUAAUUGAUGGGGUUAUCCGUAAGGAGAAGCUCUUGAUCGAAGCCCCGGUAAACGGCGGCCGUAACUAUAACGGUCCUAAGGUAGCGAAAUUCCUUGUCGGGUAAGUUCCGACCUGCACGAAUGGCGUAAUGAUGGCCAGGCUGUCUCCACCCGAGACUCAGUGAAAUUGAACUCGCUGUGAAGAUGCAGUGUACCCGCGGCAAGACGGAAAGACCCCGUGAACCUUUACUAUAGCUUGACACUGAACAUUGAGCCUUGAUGUGUAGGAUAGGUGGGAGGCUUUGAAGCGUGGACGCCAGUCUGCGUGGAGCCAACCUUGAAAUACCACCCUUUAAUGUUUGAUGUUCUAACGUUGGCCCCUUACCGGGGUUGCGGACAGUGUCUGGUGGGUAGUUUGACUGGGGCGGUCUCCUCCCAAAGCGUAACGGAGGAGCACGAAGGUUAGCUAAUCCUGGUCGGACAUCAGGAGGUUAGUGCAAUGGCAUAAGCUAGCUUGACUGCGAGCGUGACGGCGCGAGCAGGUGCGAAAGCAGGUCAUAGUGAUCCGGUGGUUCUGAAUGGAAGGGCCAUCGCUCAACGGAUAAAAGGUACUCCGGGGAUAACAGGCUGAUACCGCCCAAGAGUUCAUAUCGACGGCGGUGUUUGGCACCUCGAUGUCGGCUCAUCACAUCCUGGGGCUGAAGUAGGUCCCAAGGGUAUGGCUGUUCGCCAUUUAAAGUGGUACGCGAGCUGGGUUUAGAACGUCGUGAGACAGUUCGGUCCCUAUCUGCCGUGGGCGCUGGAGAAUUGAGGGGGGCUGCUCCUAGUACGAGAGGACCGGAGUGGACGCAUCACUGGUGUUCGGGUUGUCAUGCCAAUGGCACUGCCCGGUAGCUAAAUGCGGAAGAGAUAAGUGCUGAAAGCAUCUAAGCACGAAACUUGCCCCGAGAUGAGUUCUCCCUGAGACUUUAAGUCUCCUGAAGGAACGUUAAAGACGAUGACGUUGAUAGGCCGGGUGUGUAAGCGCAGCGAUGCGUUGAGCUAACCGGUACUAAUGAACCGUGAGGCUUAACC